rnacentral:ncRNA from 2 species
AUAUUCCUUCAGGGUCAGGUGAGAAGGCAAAGUCCUUCAAUUCCGAACCGGCGGUAUAGCCCGCGAGCACUAAGCUGAUCCGGUGAAAUUCCGGAGCCGACAGUAUAGUCUGGAUGGGAGAAGGAGUUA